CGUGGGCGCGCGCGCGGGGGCGCGGGGAGGGAGGGGGCGCGCGUUCUCUGGCUUGUGGGACUUCGGGCCGAGCCCCGGGCCGCCGGGAUGGCGCCUCAGCCGCCUUCGCCCCAGCUGCUGCUUCUGGCAGCCCUUGCGGGGCUCCUGGGUCCCAGUGAGGUGGUAGCUGAGCCAGAGGAGGAAGCGGGGGCCAGUUGUCCCGAGGGCCCGUGGCCUCUGCCCCCACAGGUGUCACCAAGACUGACCUACACGCGGAUGAGCCCAUGGCCGGCUGAGGAUGUCACCUUCCUCUACCACCCCUGUGCCCACCCUUGGCUGAAGCUCCAGCUUGCCCUCCUGGCCCACGUUUGUGUGGCCCAGCCCUCACUGGCCCCGGACUCCAGCCUUACUCAGGAGCGGCCCUUGGUGCUGGCAGCAUGUGGGGUGGUGCUGGAGAUGGCAUGGAUAGAGCCAGCCUGGGCUGCCCACUGGCUGAAGAGGCGGCGGCGGCGGAGGAGGCUGAGGAAGGAGAAGGCAUGGUUCUGCGCUGACGGUCUUUCUGGGUCUUCUCCCUUGGUGCCAAGGCCAGGUAGAGGGAGGCUGUGCCGGAGAGGGUGUCUGCAGGCCCCAGCUUUGGCUUUUACCCUGCGGAGCUGGCGGCCCCCAGGUGUGGAGGAGGCAGCUGGAGGGUCCAGGCACCUCUCUCCUGGCGGUGCCAAGAGGCGUGGGCUGCGGGCCGCUCUCGGUCUCCAGCCCACGCCCUCAGCCCUGAGGCUCCCCCCUGCCUCUCCACGGAGCUUGGAGGCCAAGCAGCCCAUGCCGGCAGCCCGGGGUGAGGGGAGUGAUGCCCCAUCUGUGCCCACUCUCCCCUUGAUGCAUGAGGGGCCCAGAGGCAAUGCCAGCUCCAGGCUAGAGGCUCAAGUGCUCAAAGGGCAAAGCAGCCCAGGGGGCUGUACCUGUCCAAGUGAGGCUUCCCCAGCCCCUCGGGCAGCAGUGCCCCCGCGGGUAGCCCGGGGCCCUACCCCCCGCACGGAGGAGGCUGCUUGGGCGGCCAUGGCCCUGACCUUCCUGUUAGUGCUGCUCACUCUGGCCACGCUCUGCACACGGCUGCACCGAAACUUCCGACGGGGGGAUAGCAUCUACUGGGAGCCCACAGCGGACAGCCAGGACACGGUGGCUGCUGUGCUGAAGCGGAGGCUACUGAUGCCCCCGCGCCGGGUCAAGCGCUCCCGCCGGAGACCCCUCCUCCCGCCCACGCCGGACAGCGGCCCGGAUGGGGAUAGCUCCGACUGACUUGACCCGAGCCCUGCCACUUUGGCGGCUUUGGUUUCGCCGCGCCUGGUGAGGCCGCGACCUCUGCCACGUGGACCCUGCGCAGGACCGCCCCCUGGUGGCCAGAUGGAGCAUUGCAACUGCCUAAGCAUUGCAAACGGGCUUGUUCUUAAGCUUCUUUUCUAGAACACAAGGGCUUUCCUUGCAAGUUCCAGGUCUGGAGCAGCUGUAGUCUUCAUUUGUUUCAUGCUCUUGCCAGGUCUGUCUUUGUCCCUUUCAUGUCUGUCACCUCCCCACCCCCAAAUUCUUACAACACUAGCAACAGCACAUGGUCACUUAUUUAUUUUUGAUACAAAUGUACAUGACACACGUCUUGACAGUCAGCCCACCCACCACCACACAGGUACAGCCUGGCCCCUAGGGCAGAGGCAGGACAGAGAGAAGGGCUGGUAGGCACGGCCAUCUGCCUCUCCAGCCUUCCCAGGCUGCUGCCCAGAUUCCAGAUACCCAGAGACUGCAGGGCAGGUGCUGGCCUCUCAGAGGUUAUAGGAGGGGGCUCUCAGCUGAGUCAGGGACCCCGGGGAGCCAGCCCCAGGCUCAGGUGCUCAGUUCUCUGCCCCAGCCAGCACAGCCCCCUCCACAAGGGAGGGGGGGGGAGGAGAGAUGCAGGGAAGUGUUUUUUUUUGUUUUUUUUUUUUUUUUGUAAGUUCAUAGAGAAGGGGACCGAUGGGGGAAGGCAAUGGGUAGGACCCCAGAUGAUUUACCAGCAGUCCCUGGCCCCAGGAUGGGAGAGUGGGGGACUGACCCCUAACUCUGGUCCUGCUGCCCUGGUCCCCUCACCCUUCACAAAACUCCAGAUGGGCCAGGCCUCCGGAACGGCACUGCCGCCCCGCACACGCACACACAGGCACGCAGGGACACUCAGUUACCACAAUGUUAAAAUUAAGGGGUGGAAGAGGAGAGAAAAAAAAAAAAAGAUUUUCCAGUGUUUGCUGCUAGGGACCCUGGGAACACAG